rnacentral:rRNA from 1 species
AUUGAACGCUGGCGGCAGGCCUAACACAUGCAAGUCGAGCGGGGUUUUCGGACCUAGCGGCGGACGGGUGAGUAAUGCGUAGGAAGCUGCCCGAUAGAGGGGGAUACCAGUUGGAAACGACUGUUAAUACCGCAUAAUGUCUACGGACCAAAGUGUGGGACCUUCGGGCCACAUGCUAUCGGAUGCGCCUACGUGGGAUUAGCUAGUUGGUGAGGUAAUGGCUCACCAAGGCGACGAUCUCUAGCUGGUUUGAGAGGAUAAUCAGCCACACUGGAACUGAGACACGGUCCAGACUCCUACGGGAGGCAGCAGUGGGGAAUAUUGGACAAUGGGCGCAAGCCUGAUCCAGCCAUGCCGCGUGUGUGAAGAAGGCCUUCGGGUUGUAAAGCACUUUCAGCGAGGAGGAAGGGGUGUGUGUUAAUAGCACAGCAUUUUGACGUUACCUACAGAAGAAGCAUCGGCUAACUCUGUGCCAGCCGCCGCGGUAACAC